rnacentral:rRNA from 1 species
AACGAACGCUGGCGGCAGGCCUAACACAUGCAAGUCGAGCGGGACCUUCGGGUCUAGCGGCGGACGGGUUAGUAACGCGUGGGAACGUGCCCAAAGGUACGGAAUAGCCUCGGGAAACUGAGAGUAAUACCGUAUGUGCCCCUCGGGGGGAAAGAUUUAUCGCCUUUUGGAUCGGCCCGCGUUGGAUUAGGUAGUUGGUGGGGUAAUGGCCUACCAAGCCGACGAUCCAUAGCUGGUUUGAGAGGAUGAUCAGCAACACUGGGACUGAGACACGGCCCAGACUCCUACGGGAGGCAGCAGUGGGGAAUCUUAGACAAUGGGGGAAACCCUGAUCUAGCCAUGCCGCGUGAGCGAUGAAGGCCUUAGGGUUGUAAAGCUCUUUCAGAUGGGAAGAUAAUGACGGUACCAUCAGAAGAACGCCCCGGUCUAACUCCGUGGCCAGCCGCCGCGGAACACCAGUAUAGUCU